AGAUGUGAGAGCAGUCUGGCUGUCGCAUCUAUCAUCCCGUUGAUCACCAGGAUUGAGUCAGCUGAGGGGGCUAGCGAGGUGGGUGUGCCAUUCCUCUCUCAGCACCCCGUGUGAGUCCCUCCCAAAUUCUGUGCUUGUUUGAGAGAAUGACCUGUCCCAAAGCAGGACUUCCACCAAGGGUGUAGGAGUAGCUGAACUCCCUUGCUAAUAAGCUCCCACACCGCCAUCGUCUCUUCUUCCGGAAGUGUGUGGUU
rnacentral:snRNA from 1 species